GGCCCCAUCGUCUAGCGGUUAGGACACGGCCCUUUCAAGGCUGUAACCGGGGUUCGAGUCCCCGUGGGGUCA
rnacentral:tRNA from 1 species